AAUCCGUGGUGCGGGCAUUUUUAAAUCAACAUCUUGAAUUAUUCCCAUGCCUCAUAAAAACUUUCUCCUUCCAUCUGUCUGAAGACAACAAUCUCUCUUCUUAGUUG
rfam:Gossypium raimondii chromosome 13, whole genome shotgun sequence.